UGACCUCGAAUCARGUAGGAUUACCCGCUGAACU
rnacentral:rRNA from 2 species